rnacentral:rRNA from 1 species
AUUGAACGCUGGCGGCAGGCUUAACACAUGCAAGUCGAGCGGAGAUGAGGUGCUUGCACCUUAUCUUAGCGGCGGACGGGUGAGUAAUGCUUAGGAAUCUGCCUAUUAGUGGGGGACAACAUUCCGAAAGGAAUGCUAAUACCGCAUACGUCCUACGGGAGAAAGCAGGGGAUCUUCGGACCUUGCGCUAAUAGAUGAGUCUAAGUCGGAUUAGCUAGUUGGUGGGGUAAAGGCCUACCAAGGGGACGAUCUGUAGCGGGUCUGAGAGGAUGAUCCGCCACACUGGGACUGAGACACGGCCCAGACUCCUACGGGAGGCAGCAGUGGGGAAUAUUGGACAAUGGGGGGAACCCUGAUCCAGCCAUGCCGCGUGUGUGAAGAAGGCCUUAUGGUUGUAAAGCACUUUAAGCGAGGAGGAGGCUACUGAGACUAAUACUCUUGGAUAGUGGACGUUACUCGCAGAAUAAGCACCGGCUAACUCUGUGCCAGCAGCCGCCGUAACAC